rnacentral:rRNA from 1 species
CCGGUAAUACGUCAUGAUCUCGUACGGAGACGUAAAGGGUUUACCCGCCGUUGGGAGCAGCGAUCGUCCUAUCGAGGUAGUUGGCGGGGUAAAGGCCCACCAAGCCGAAGACGGGUAGCGGGUGUGAGAGCACGACCCGCGACAUCGGAACUGAGACACUGUCCGGACUCCUACGGGAGGCUGCAGUAACGAAUCUUCCGCAAUGGGCGAAAGCCUGACGGAGCAAUGCCGCGUGUAGGAUGAAGCGUCUCUGACGUGUAAACUACUGUCAGGGGUCGGAACCAACGAUUGACCCCAAAGGAAGUGGCGACUAACUCUGUG